rnacentral:rRNA from 1 species
GACGUAGGGGGCCAGCGUUGUUCGGAAUUACUGGGUGUAAAGGGUUCGUAGGCGGUGUGGCAAGUCGGGAGUGAAAUCUCUGGGCUCAACCCAGAGUCUGCUUCCGAAACUGCUGUGCUUGAGUGUGGGAGAGGCGCGUGGAAUUGCAGGUGUAGCGGUGAAAUGCGUAGAUAUCUGCAGGAACACCCGUGGCGAAAAGCGGCGCGCUGGACCACUACUGACGCUGAGGAACGAAAGCUAGGGGGAGCAAACAGG